rnacentral:rRNA from 1 species
GAGUAGGGCGGGACACGUGGUAUCCUGUCUGAAUAUGGGGGGACCAUCCUCCAAGGCUAAAUACUCCUGACUGACCGAUAGUGAACCAGUACCGUGAGGGAAAGGCGAAAAGAACCCCGGCGAGGGGAGUGAAAAAGAACCUGAAACCGUGUACGUACAAGCAGUGGGAGCCUCUUUAUGGGGUGACUGCGUACCUUUUGUAUAAUGGGUCAGCGACUUAUAUUCUGUAGCAAGGUUAACCGAAUAGGGGAGCCGAAGGGAAACCGAGUCUUAACUGGGCGUUAAGUUGCAGGGUAUAGACCCGAAACCCGGUGAUCUAGCCAUGGGCAGGUUGAAGGUUGGGUAACACUAACUGGAGGACCGAACCGACUAAUGUUGAAAAAUUAGCGGAUGACUUGUGGCUGGGGGUGAAAGGCCAAUCAAACCGGGAGAUAGCUGGUUCUCCCCGAAAGCUAUUUAGGUAGCGCCUCGUGAAUUCAUCUCCGGGGGUAGAGCACUGUUUCGGCAAGGGGGUCAUCCCGACUUACCAACCCGAUGCAAACUGCGAAUACCGGAGAAUGUUAUCACGGGAGACACACGGCGGGUGCUAACGUCCGUCGUGAAGAGGGAAACAACCCAGACCGCCAGCUAAGGUCCCAAAGUCAUGGUUAAGUGGGAAACGAUGUGGGAAGGCCCAGACAGCCAGGAUGUUGGCUUAGAAGCAGCCAUCAUUUAAAGAAAGCGUAAUAGCUCACUGGUCGAGUCGGCCUGCGCGGAAGAUGUAACGGGGCUAAACCAUGCACCGAAGCUGCGGCAGCGACACUAUGUGUUGUUGGGUAGGGGAGCGUUCUGUAAGCCUGUGAAGGUGGCCUGUGAGGGUUGCUGGAGGUAUCAGAAGUGCGAAUGCUGACAUAAGUAACGAUAAAGCGGGUGAAAAGCCCGCUCGCCGGAAGACCAAGGGUUCCUGUCCAACGUUAAUCGGGGCAGGGUGAGUCGACCCCUAAGGCGAGGCCGAAAGGCGUAGUCGAUGGGAAACAGGUUAAUAUUCCUGUACUUGGUGUUACUGCGAAGGGGGGACGGAGAAGGCUAUGUUGGCCGGGCGACGGUUGUCCCGGUUUAAGCGUGUAGGCUGGUUUUCCAGGCAAAUCCGGAAAACCAAGGCUGAGGCGUGAUGACGAGGCACUACGGUGCUGAAGCGACAAAUGCCCUGCUUCCAGGAAAAGCCUCUAAGCAUCAGGUAACAUCAAAUCGUACCCCAAACCGACACAGGUGGUCAGGUAGAGAAUACCAAGGCGCUUGAGAGAACUCGGGUGAAGGAACUAGGCAAAAUGGUGCCGUAACUUCGGGAGAAGGCACGCUGAUAUGUAGGUGAAGCGACUUGCUCGUGGAGCUGAAAUCAGUCGAAGAUACCAGCUGGCUGCAACUGUUUAUUAAAAACACAGCACUGUGCAAACACGAAAGUGGACGUAUACGGUGUGACGCCUGCCCGGUGCCGGAAGGUUAAUUGAUGGGGUUAGCGGUAACGCGAAGCUCUUGAUCGAAGCCCCGGUAAACGGCGGCCGUAACUAUAACGGUCCUAAGGUAGCGAAAUUCCUUGUCGGGU